rnacentral:tRNA from 1 species
GCCUGGGUGGCUCAGUCGGUUGAGCAUCUGACUUCAGCUCAGGUCAUGAUCUCGCGGUCUGUAAGUUCAUGCCCUACGUCGGGCA